rnacentral:rRNA from 1 species
GAUGAACGCUAGCGGCAGGCUUAAUACAUGCAAGUCGAGGGGCAGCACAGGUAGCAAUACUGGGUGGCGACCGGCAAACGGGUGCGGAACACGUACACAACUUACCUUAGAGUGGGGGAUAGCCCAGGGAAACUUGGAUUAAUACCCCAUAAAACAGGGGGCCCGCAUGGGCAUAUUGUUAUAGAUUUAUCGCUUUAAGAUGGGUGUGCGUAUGAUUAGGUAGUUGGUAGGGUAAAGGCCUACCAAGCCGACGAUCAUUAACUGGUGUGAGGGCACGACCAGUCAAACGGGCACUGAGACACGGGCCCGAAUCCUACGGGAGGCAGCAGUAAGGAAUAUUGGUCAAUGGACGGAAGUCUGAACCAGCCAUGCCGCGUGAAGGAUGAAGGUCCUCUGGAUUGUAAACUUCUUUUAUCUGGGACGAAAAAGGGCCUUUCUAGGUCAACUGACGGUACCAGAUGAAUAAGCACCGGCUAACUCCGUGCCAGCAGCCACAGUAACAC